rnacentral:rRNA from 1 species
CCCGCUCAGAAACUUAAAUGAAUUGACGGGGGCCCGCACAAGCGGAGGAACAUGUGGUUUAAUUCGAUGAUACGCGAGGAACCUUACCCGGGCUUGAAAUGCAUCUGACCGGCCUUGAAAGAGGCACUCCCUUCGGGGCAGAUGUGUAGGUGCUGCAUGGUUGUCGUCAGCUCGUGCCGUGAGGUGUCGGCUUAAGUGCCAUAACGAGCGCAACCCUCAUCAUUAGUUACCAUCAGGUAAGGCUGGGGACUCUAAUGAGACUGCCAUCGUAAGAUGUGAGGAAGGUGGGGAUGACGUCAAAUCAGCACGGCCCUUACGUCCGGGGCGACACACGUGUUACAAUGGGUGGUACAAAGGGCAGCUACCUGGCGACAGGAUGCUAAUCUCGAAAACCGCUCUCAGUUCGGAUCGGAGUCUGCAACUCGACUCCGUGAAGCUGGAUUCGCUAGUAAUCGCGCAUCAGCCACGGCGCGGUGAAUACGUUCCCGGGCCUU